rnacentral:rRNA from 1 species
AUUGAACGCUGGCGGCAUGCCUUACACAUGCAAGUCGAACGGUAACAGGCCGCAAGGUGCUGACGAGUGGCGAACGGGUGAGUAAUGCAUCGGAACGUGCCCAGUCGUGGGGGAUAACGCAGCGAAAGCUGUGCUAAUACCGCAUACGAUCUGUGGAUGAAAGCGGGGGACCGAAAGGCCUCGCGCGAUUGGAGCGGCCGAUGUCAGAUUAGGUAGUUGGUGGGGUAAAGGCACACCAAGCCAACGAUCUGUAGCUGGUCUGAGAGGACGACCAGCCACACUGGGACUGAGACACGGCCCAGACUCCUACGGGAGGCAGCAGUGGGGAAUUUUGGACAAUGGGCGAAAGCCUGAUCCAGCAAUGCCGCGUGCAGGAUGAAGGCCUUCGGGUCGUAAACUGCUUUUGUACGGAACGAAAAGCUUCGGGCUAAUACCCUGGAGUCAUGACGGUACCGUAAGAAUAAGCACCGGCUAACUACGUGCCAGCCGCCGCGGUAAGAC